rnacentral:rRNA from 1 species
GACGAACGCUGGCGGCGUGCUUAACACAUGCCAGUCGAACGGUGAAGCGCCUUCCUUUUUGGUGGGUGUGGAUGAGUGGCGAACGGGUGAGUAACACGUGAGUAACCUGCCCCCUUCUUCUGGAUAACCGCAUGAAAGUGUGGCUAAUACGGGAUAUUCUGGGUCUGUCGCAUGAUGGGUCUGGGAAAGAUAUUGUUUCGGUGGGGGAUGGGCUCGCGGCCUAUCAGCUUGUUGGUGGGGUGAUGGCCUACCAAGGCGGUGACGGGUAGCCGGCCUGAGAGGGUGGACGGUCACACGGGGACUGAGACACGGCCCAGACUCCUACGGGAGGCAGCAGUGGGGAAUAGUGCACAAUGGGCGCAAGCCUGAUGCAGCGACGCCGCGUGAGGGAUGGAGGCCUUCGGGUUGUGAACCUCUUUCGCCAGUGAAGCAGGCCUGCCUCGUUUGUGGGUGGGUUGACGGUAGCUGGAUAAGAAGCGCCGGCUAACUACGUG